UAGGGAAUCUUCGGCAAUGGACGAAAGUCUGACCGAGCAACGCCGCGUGAGUGAAGAAGGUUUUCGGAUCGUAAAACUCUGUUGUUAGAGAAGAACAAGGACGUUAGUAACUGAACGUCCCCUGACGGUAUCUAACCAGAAAGCCACGGCUAACUACGUGCCAGCAGCCGCGGUAAUACGUAGGUGGCAAGCGUUGUCCGGAUUUAUUGGGCGUAAAGCGAGCGCAGGCGGUUUCUUAAGUCUGAUGUGAAAGCCCCCGGCUCAACCGGGGAGGGUCAUGGGAAACUGGGAGACUUGAGUGCAGAAGAGGAGAGUGGAAUUCCAUGUGUAGCGGUGAAAUGCGUAGAUAUAUGGAGGAACACCAGUGGCGAAGGCGGCUCGCUGGUCUGUAACUGACGCUGAGGCUCGAAAGCGUGGGGAGCAAACAGG
rnacentral:rRNA from 1 species